GACGUAGGGCGCGAGCGUUGUCCGGAUUUAUUGGGCGUAAAGAGCUCGUAGGCGGCUUGUCGCGUCGAAUGUGAAAUCUCAGGGCUCAACUCUGACAUUGCAUUCGAUACGGGCAGGCUAGAGUUCGGUAGGGGAGACUGGAAUUCCUGGUGUAGCGGUGGAAUGCGCAGAUAUCAGGAGGAACACCGGCGGCGAAGGCAGAUCUCUGGGACGUUACUGACGCUGAGACGCGAAAGCGUGGGGAGCAAACAGG
rnacentral:rRNA from 1 species